rnacentral:pre_miRNA from 1 species
CCUGGUUGCACGGCGGCAGGACUUAGCCCACAUGUGAACACUGUAUGUUGAUCUCCAUGUUCACAGUGGUUAAGUUCUGCCGC